rnacentral:rRNA from 1 species
ACACAUGAACAUCGACAUUUCGAACGCACAUUGCGGCCCUAGGACUUGUUCCUGGGCCACACCUGACUGAGGGUCGGUUGACCAAACUCAACGACCAGACUGUC